ACAUUGGUAGUUCAGUGGUAGAAUUCUCACCUUCCAUGAAGGAGAUCUGGGUUCAAUUCCCAGCCAGUGCA
rnacentral:tRNA from 1 species